rnacentral:tRNA from 1 species
GCGGACGUGGCCAAGUGGAUUAAGGCAGUGGAUUGUGGUUCCACUAUGCGCGGGUUCGAACCCCGUCGUUCGCC